AUUAGCCUACGGGACGCAGCAGUGAGGAAUAUUGGUCAAUGGUCGGGAGACUGAACCAGCCAAGCCGCGUGAGGGAGGAAGGUACAGAGUAUCGUAAACCUCUUUUGUCAGGGAACAAAGACUGGGACGCGUCCCCGGAUGAGUGUACCUGAAGAAAAAGCAUCGGCUAACUCCGUGCCAGCAGCCGCGGCAAUACGGAGGAUGCGAGCGUUAUCCGGAUUUAUUGGGUUUAAAGGGUGCGCAGGCGGUCUGUUAAGUCAGCGGUCAAAGCCCGGGGCUCAACCCCGGCCCGCCGUUGAAACUGG
rnacentral:rRNA from 1 species